GACAGAGGGUGCAAACGUUGUUCGGAAUUACUGGGCGUAAAGCGUGUGUAGGAGGUCUGCUAAGUCGGGUGUGAAAGCCCUGGGCUCAACCCAGGAAGUGCACUCGAAACUGGCAGGCUAGAGUACUGGAGAGGUUGGUGGAAUUCUCGGUGUAGAGGUGAAAUUCGUAGAUAUCGAGAGGAACACCGGUGGCGAAGGCGGCCAACUGGACAGAUACUGACGCUGAGACACGAAAGCGUGGGGAGCAAACAGG
rnacentral:rRNA from 1 species